CAAUAGCGUAUACUAAAGUUGUUGCAGUUAAAAAGCUCGUAGUUGAAUUUCUGGUCGCGAAAGGUGGUCCGUUCCUCACGGAAUGUGUACUGUCCAUUCGUGUCCAUUCUCGGAGUUAGUUUGUAUUACCUUCAUCGGUCGUGCAUACAACCUUCGUCAUUUACUGUGAGCAAAAUAGAGUGUUCAAAGCAGGCUUAUGCCGUUGAAUAUAUUAGCAUGGAAUAAUAAGAUAUGACUUUGGUCUAUUUUGUUGGUUUGCACUCCAAAGUAAUGAUUAAUAGGGAUAGUUGGGGGUAUUCGUAUUCAAUUGUCAGAGGUGAAAUUCUUGGAUUUAUGGAAGACGAACUACUGCGAAAGCAUUUACCAAGGAUGUUUUCAUUAAUCAAGAACGAAAGUUAGGGGAUCGAAGACGAUCAGAUACCAU
rnacentral:rRNA from 1 species